UACGUAGGGUGCGAGCGUUGUCCGGAAUUAUUGGGCGUAAAGAGCUUGUAGGCGGUUUGUCGCGUCUGCUGUGAAAUCUCAAGGCUCAACCUUGAGCUUGCAGUGGGUACGGGCAGACUAGAGUGUGGUAGGGGAGACUGGAAUUCCUGGUGUAGCGGUGAAAUGCGCAGAUAUCAGGAGGAACACCGGUGGGCGAAGGCGGCAUCCCUGGACCGGGCAUUGACGCGUGAG
rnacentral:rRNA from 1 species